rnacentral:rRNA from 1 species
GAGAACUGUGGGGACGCAGAAGGAGAGCACUACCUGGAAUGGAAUCCAGGGGCAAGCACAGGAGGGGUACGGCUGGAAAAACCGCCGUGCAACCCAAAGGUGUGACGCAUACCGAACUAAAGUAGGGAAAUGUGUGAGCCGGCUGCCGAGAAAAGCCGCUAUUGUUUGUACUGUACCCGUACCGUAAACCGACACAGGUGGAUGAGGAGAGAAUCCUAAGGCCGACGGAAGAAGCAUUGCUAAGGAACUCGGCAAAAUGACCCUGUAACUUCGGGAGAAAGGGUGCCUCGAGAGAGGCCGCAGAGAAUAGGCCCAAGCAACUGUUUAGCAAAAACACAGGUCUAUGCAAAACCGCAAGGUGAAGUAUAUGGGCUGACGCCUGCCCGGUGCUGGAAGGUUAAGGGGAGAUGUCAGGAGACGAAGCAUCGAACUUAAGCCCCAGUAAACGGCGGCCGUAACAAUAACGGUCCUAAGGUAGCGAAAUUCCUUGUCGGGUAAGUUCCGACCCGCACGAAAGGCGUAAUGAUUUGGGCGCUGUCUCGGCAAUGCAUCCGGUGAAAUUGAAGUGCCAGUGAAGAUGCUGGCUACCCGCGCCAGGACGGAAAGACCCCAUGGAGCUUUACUCCAGCUUGAUACUGGGAUUCGGUAUUGUAUGUACAGGAUAGGUGGGAGGCUGAGAAAUGGUGACGCCAGUCGCCAUGGAGCCGCUGUUGGGAUACCACCCUUGCAGUACUGGAUUUCUAACCAGCAGCCGUGAUCCGGCUGGGGGACAAUGUCAGGUGGGGAGUUUGACUGGGGCGGUCGCCUCCGAAAGGGUAUCGGAGGCGCUCAAAGGUUCCCUCAGAAUGGUUGGAAACCAUUCGAAGAGUGCAAAGGCAGAAGGGAGCUUGACUGCGACACCGACGGGUGGGGCAGGUACGAAAGUAGGACUUAGUGAUCCGGUGGUAUUAAGUGGGAAUGCCAUCGCUCAACGGAUAAAAGCUACCCUGGGAUAACAGGCUUAUCACUCCCAAGAGUUCACAUCGACGGAGUGGUUUGGCACCUCGAUGUCGGCUCAUCGCAUCCUGGGGCUGUAGUAGGUCCCAAGGGUUGGGCUGUUCGCCCAUUAAAGCGGUACGCGAGCUGGGUUCAGAACGUCGUGAGACAGUUCGGUCCCUAUCCGGCGUGGGCGUAGGAUAUUUGAGAGGAGCUGACCUUAGUACGAGAGGACCGGGUUGGACUGACCUCUGGUGCACCGGUUGUCAUGCCAAUGGCACAGCCGGGUAGCCAAGUCGGGAAGGGAUAAACGCUGAAGGCAUCUAAGCGUGAAGCCCCCCUCAAGAUGAGAUAUCCCCCGCAUAAGCGGUAAGACCCCUUGAAGACGACGAGGUAGAUAGGGCAGAGGUGGAAGUGCAGUAAUGUAUGGAGCUGACUGCUACUAAUAGGUCGAAGGCUUAACU